AAUCAACGCUGGCGGCGUGCCUCAGACAUGCAAGUCGAACGCGAAAUUUCCCUUCGGGGAGAAAGUAGAGUGGCGCACGGGUGAGUAACACGUAGGUAAUUUGCCUUUGGGUGGGAGUAACUCAGCGAAACUUGAGCUAAUACCGCAUAAUGCAGCGGCUCGACAUCGAGACAGUUGUUAAAGCGGGGGAUUGGAACAAUCCGACCUCGCGCCUAAAGAGAAGCCUGCGGCAGAUUAGCUAGUUGGUAAGGUAAUGGCUUACCAAGGCGACGAUCUGUAACCGGCCUGAGAGGGCGGUCGGUCACACUGACACUGACAUACGGGUCAGACUCCUACGGGAGGCAGCAGUCGGGAAUUUUGGGCAAUGGGCGCAAG
rnacentral:rRNA from 1 species